AUACGUAGGUGACAAGCGUUAUCCGGAUUUACUGGGCGUAAAGGGCGUGUAGGCGGUCUUGCAAGUCAGAAGUGAAAUUCCUGAGCUCAACUCGGGCGCUGCUUCUGAAACUGCAGGACUUGAGUGCUGGAGGGGAUAGCGGAAUUCCUAGUGGAGCGGUAAAAUGCGCAGAUAUUAGGAAGAACACCGGUGGCGAAGGCGGCUAUCUGGACAGUAACUGACGCUGAGGCGCGAAAGCGUGGGGAUCGAACAGGAUUAGAUACCCUGGUAGUCCACGCAGUAAACGAUGAUGACUAACCGUCGGCGAUAGACCGCCGGUGGCCAAGCGAAAGCGAUAAGUCAUCCACCUGGGGAGUACGACCGCAAGGUUGAAACUUAAAUGAAUUGGCGGGG
rnacentral:rRNA from 1 species